CCACCGGGCAAAGGGGAGGUCAGCGCCUAUGCCUACUUGCAUCAUUGGUGCCAAUCCAUGGGGCUUUCAAUGAUUCCCUUGGGAGAAGGCUAAGGGAUCUGUCAGAAAAUGCAUCCUGAUACUCAGGCUAAUAGAAAGGUAGCUGAGCAGAAGAGUGGGAAUUUAGUGAUAUUGUAUGCACCGGACAUACAGUAUAGAAAAUAAUGUACUCCUUUUCAUGAUUGCUAUCAACAUUUAAAAGUAAUUUUUAGAUGAAAUUGAAGAAGACAUAAGCACCAUUCCACAUUUUUAACUCCGCAUCUCCCAUUUUAUGCCACUGUGAUGCUACACCCCAUAUUAUUCAUAGAAAUAUUGUUAUGAUAUGAAUAUAACUAAAAUGUUUUAUGCAAGAUGUGUCAUGUGACGUAUCAGUGGAAAGGUUAUGUUUUACUGAAUAAGAUUAUCCUAUUUGUAUACAUGUAUCAUUUCUGUAUCUGAGGUUGGGAAUGCUGAUUAUGUAACAAUUACAACUGGUUACACCUGGGAAACGCACGCCAGACAGUAUAUAAUCAGCCUGGAUGAGCCAUUAGGAAAGAAAAUGGGUCUUUGAAAAUGCUGAUCGCCCAUCUUCCUGGCAUCCCUUCCUGUGGAUAUUACAAAUAAACCUUGUUUCAUGGUUGCUCUGACACUAUAAGGUCAUGUGAUGAUGUCACCUGGUACAGAAUACCACCUUGGACACUGCUGGUAUUUUUCCACUGGAAACAAAGGAUUCCUGCAUUACGUAAAUCCUAUUUAAGUCUGGGAAGUGAGUUAAUCUGAGCUCUUCUCCAUUGCCUCCCUGCCCAAAGAAGGAAGACUGCUGAAAACACCUGAAGAAACAAAGGAACUAAACUGGGGUAAGGCAAGGACUGAGUGCAGGCUGAGACAGGGGUCUAGCCUGUAAAGACAAAUAACUGGAACGCUAAGCUGCACAAACUCUGCAACCUGCCUAAAACAACAUUUAAGAAUGGAGUUCGGUGAUAUGAGUUCAGUGAAUUGAAGUACCUCUGAUUUUUGGAAAAUAUACGGAUGGCCUGAGUAACUGCGCUGUGGCAGACGGGGCACUGGGGCUCCGU